ACCUCUUGUCAAACACAUGCAUCAAAAGGGUAUCAAAAUCACCCAUAAUACCUCAUACAUUCAGAGCAUUCAAAUUAAAAGCAUAAAGUAAUGGGAAUAAGGCAAACCUGACUGGAGAGAUCGAAUGAAAUUGAAUUGCCCGGUUGGGUUUGCAAAAUAAUCUGAGGGUUUAUGAGAGGGAAUUGGUUUUUUGUCGAUUAGUUCCCUUCAGUCUCUGGAGGUUGCUCUGAACUCUGUUAGCUCUUCU
rnacentral:lncRNA from 1 species